AGAUAUCGUCUGUAGAAAUGAGCCCCAUUAUAUGAAUAGACAUGGCAAUAUCAUUAUAUCGAUGUUAUUGUUGUUCUGUUAAGACAGUUACCCCCCUCUCGUGCACGCAGAGCUGCAGCGCUUGUGGAUCCUGGCCAUGAGCUUUCAAAGCAGAGGGAGGGUACUUACUUGGCUCAUAAACUCUCUCUCGUUCAUGUGUGCUCCAUUCAUUUCUCGGGAUGGAGGGGAUUCAUCUUCUCCGGAUGCAAACUGAUGCAGUAUAGAUUAUCUAUCAUUAUAUAUGACCGCCUUGAUUCAUUCCAAAUUAGAGUAACACUGCACGGUGCCUUCAGAUUAUGUGUAUUCCUGAUGUAUGUGGUUCUGUCAAGUGUAUUUAGGUGUGUUUGAGAAGUAAGUUUUGCUUUA